rnacentral:rRNA from 1 species
GUAGGUGGCAAGCGUUGUCCGGGAAUUAUUGGGGCGUAAAGCGCGCGCAGGCGGUUCUUUAAGUCUGAUGUGAAAGCCCACGGGCUCAACCGCGGAGGGUCAUUGGAAACUGGAGAACUUGAGUACAGAAGAGGAAAGCGGAAUUCCACGUGUAGCGGUGAAAUGCGUAGAGAUGUGGAGGAACACCAGUGGCGAAGGCGGCUUUCUGGUCUGUAACUGACGCUGAGGCGCGAAAGCGUGGGGAGCAAACAGGAUUAGAUACCCUGGUAGUCCACGCCGUAAACGAUGAGUGCUAAGUGUUAGGGGGUUUCCGCCCCUUAGUGCUGCAGCUAACGCAUUAAGCACUCCGCCUGGGGAGUACGGCCGCAAAGGCUGA